UUGUUCGGAAUUACUGGGCGUAAAGCGUAUGUAGGCGGCUUCGUAAGUCAGAUGUGAAAUCCCAGAGCUUAACUUUGGAACUGCAUUUGAGACUGCAAGGCUUGAGUAUUGGAGAGGUUGGCGGAAUUCCUAGUGUAGAGGUGAAAUUCGCAGAUAUUAGGAGGAACACCGAUGGCGUAAGCAGCCAACUGGACAAUUACUGACGCUGAGAUACGAAAGCGUGGGGAGCAAACAGG
rnacentral:rRNA from 1 species